CCGGCGACCGGCGGACGGGUGCGUAACGCGUAUGUAACCUACCUUUGACAGGGGGAUAACAUCGAGAAAUUGGUACUAAUACCCCAUAACAUCACCGGAGGCAUCUUCGGUGGUUGAAAACUCAGGUGGUCAGAGAUGGACAUGCGUGUAUUAGCUAGUUGGUGAGGUAACGGCUCACCAAGGCGACGAUACAUAGGGGGACUGAGAGGUCAACCCCCCACAUUGGUACUGAGACACGGACCAAACUCCUACGGAAGGCAGCAG
rnacentral:rRNA from 1 species